UUAUAUCAUCUUUUGAAUCAGAAAGAUACCGUGCGUCACAGCUAACGUCACUUUGUGUUUCAAAACAUAUUCAAUUGUACAGAGAGUUUUCCCGUUGACCAUGGAUUCGUUAUUGAACCUAAGAACAAUGUC